rnacentral:lncRNA from 1 species
GCCGGCUGGGCUCCCGGUGAGCCGCGCGCGUGCUGCUUCGGCAGCGACACGUAGACGUGGCGCUUAAGUAGAGGACGGAGCAAGUCGGGAAGGCCGCUGGGAGAAUAGCAACAUCCUAACGCAAAAACGGACGGCGGGUCCACGUGCUGGGAAACGCGAACGCUUCGCGUGCGGGUGGAAAGACUCCGCUCCACGGAGUCGUCUCCUGGUGGUCUCUGAGGGCCCUGUGGAGAAGCUGACAAGAUCUGAAGAGACCAACGGGAGCCCAUGGCAGAGCUCCUGUGUGCUUGCUGCAAGCUCAGAGUGCUCAGUCUAUGUGUCACUCCUGAAGGGGUCAGAUCCAUGAGGUUUUCAGAAAUGUGAGGAAUGUGUAUAAGAUCCAUGAUGGAGACCAAAACAACAAAAAACAGAGACAGUGGAGGGACUUGGAAGAUGAAGUUGUAUCAAACAGAUGGAAGCUAAAACGUAAGAAAAAAUGUCACCACCACUGUCUAAGAACAGAAGAAGAUAUUCUCCAGUAGCAAGAAUGAUCUGCUAUUUCUAAAACAGCAGCAUUAGAGAACAAUGAAGGAAGGCCUAGAAAGUAAGGGUAAAACAUAGAAGCUAAAAACUAAUAUAAAAAAGAUGGGAACAUUUCCUAAAGGCUGGUGAAAAGCCAGGUGUAGUGCACACCCAUAAUCCCAGCUCGAAGGGUCAGGAGUUCAAAGCCAGCUUGGACACAUUUAGCAUUCUGGGCCACCCUGGGUUACAAAAGGCCCUGUCUGUCUUAGGUAGGCUUUCUAUGGCUGUGAUAGAACAGCAAAAGCAACCUGUGCUGGGAGCCAAGGCCAGCUAGUGGAAAGUUACAGACAGCUGCAACAAGGUCGUAGGUGAGAGAUUUACGUUUCCAGAACCCAUGAGACAUCUGUGUGUCAGGCUAGACAUUUUGAGAUAUCUUAGCUGACAUUCUUGUAGNAACAAGGUCGUAGGUGAGAGAUUUACGUUUCCAGAACCCAUGAGACAUCUGUGUGUCAGGCUAGACAUUUUGAGAUAUCUUAGCUGACAUUCUUGUAGUAUCUCUUUUAGUAAACAUUCUUGCGGUGUUCUGCAUCAUCAUUAAUCACCCUGUUAUGUUUUGUAAACUAUAUUGCUGACACAUUUUCCCUUCCUGCCUUCUCUCUAUAAAGUUGUGUGAAAUUUUUCAAAUAAAUGAGAGCAAGAUCAGAC